GAUGAAGAACGCAGCGAAAUGCGAUAAGUAAUGUGAAUUGCAGAAUUCAGUGAAUCAUCGAAUCUUUGAACGCACAUUGCGCCCCCUGGUAUUCCGGGGGGCAUGCCUGUUCGAGCGUCAUUUCACCACUCAAGCCUCGCUUGGUAUUGGGCAACGCGGUCCGCCGCGUGCCUCAAAUCGACCGGCUGGGUCUUCUGUCCCCUAAGCGUUGUGGAAACUUUCGCUAAAGGGUGUUCGGGAGGCUACGCCGUAAAACAACCCCAUUUCUAAGGUUGACCUCGGAUCAGGUAGGGAUACCCGCUUAACUUAAGCAUAUCAAUAAGCGGAGGA
rnacentral:misc_RNA from 1 species